rnacentral:rRNA from 1 species
CCUACGGGAGGCUGCAGUGGGGGAUAUUGCACAAUGGGGGGAACCCUGAUGCAGCGACGCCGCGUGGAUGAAGGAGCGUUUCGGCGCGUAAAGCCCUAUCGGCAGGGAAGAAGGAGGACGGUACCUGACUAAGUAGCCCCGGCUAACUACGUGCCAGCAGCCGCGGUCAUACGUAGGGGGCACGCGUUAUCCGGAUUUACUGGGUGUAAAGGGGGCGCAGCCGGCAGGGCAAGCCAGGAGUGAAAGCCCGGGGCUCAACCCCGGGACUGCAGUUGGAACUGGGCGGCUGGAGUGCAGGAGGGGCAGGCGGAAUUCCUGGUGUAGCGGUGAAAUGCGUAGAUAUCAGGAGGAACACCGGUGGCGAAGGCGGCCUGCUGGACUGCGACUGACGUUGAGGCCCGAAAGUGUGGGGAGCAAACAGGAUUAGAUACCCCUGUAGUC